UAUUCUGCCCCAUGGGGAAGGAUGAGAAGCUUCGACUAAGGUUCGACUCGAGCGAAGCGAGAGAACGUUGCCGCAGGCAACGGCCCGAAGGGCGAGGCGCUUUAGCGCCGAGUAAUC
rnacentral:sRNA from 1 species